UACAGAGGGUGCAAGCGUUGUCCGGAAUUAUUGGGCGUAAAGAGCUUGUAGGCGGUUUGUCGCGUCUGCUGUGAAAUUUCGGGGCUCAACCCCGAACUUGCAGUGGGUACGGGCAGACUAGAGUGUGGUAGGGGAGACUGGAAUUCCUGGUGUAGCGGUGAAAUGCGCAGAUAUCAGGAGGAACACCGGUGGCGAAGGCGGGUCUCUGGGCCGAAAUUGACGCUGAGGAGCGAAAGCGUGGGGAGCAAACAGG
rnacentral:rRNA from 1 species